AUUUACACCCUUUGUAUGUCUAGAAACAAAGAAGAAACAGCAAGGACACUGAAGAAACAAAUAGCAAAAGUAAUCAAAACUAAUAAGUAUUUAUUAAUACUCAUGAGAAACAAAGGGUCUGCCGGAAAAUUUGUCAGGUCCACGCAUGAACAGGAUAUUAAAAACAUGUUCAGAGAACACAAAGCAAUUUCAGAGGUGGUAGAAGCUUUGUCUGCAUCACUGUUCAUGGCAGAAGAAAUGAGGGACAUUCCUAUUGAAAAAUCAUUCUUUAUGGGGGACUCAUCAAGUGAAGUGAUUCUGAAGGGGUGCUGGAACUGACUGAAAAAAUUAACAGUCACACAUCCCCGGGACCAGGGUAUAUUCACUCAUGGGAUCCAAAGGAAAUCAAGGAUGAAAUAGCUGAAUUACUAAUCAUGGAGGAACUAAAGUCUACCUGAGAGAUGUCUUACCAAACCGACCGUGGCAGUUUAUCUGGGCUGGAAACAGGACCAGACUGCAAACCUCACAUCCAGGGAAGGACUACCCGAAUGAAUCCUUCCUGUGCUGCUGUCCCUAGAAGAGAACAAAAAGUGUUGGGAAUUCUGGUCACAUGGAAACAACUUGGAGUGGUAGAAGGUCUUUGGUGGGCAUUUGGUACCUAGCCAGCAUCAACUUAUCACAGACCUCCAUAAAUACCAGUACAGCAGCACAGCCAAAGUUCUUCUGCACAAGGACUGGCUGAAGAGAGCAGCAUUUCAAGAACCAACAGCUUAACUCCAGCCAGUCAGCA